UCACAUCUUACGACGGCAGUCUCUCUAGAGUCCUCAGCAUGACCUGUUAGUAACUAAAGAUAAGGGUUGCGCUCGUUAUGGCACUUAAGCCGACACCUCACGGCACGAGCUGACGACAACCAUGCAGCACCUUCACAACAGCCUUACGGCUAUACUGUUUCCAAUAUAUUCUGUUGCAAUUUAAGCCCGGGUAAGGUUCCUCGCGUAUCAUCGAAUUAAACCACAUGUUCCUCCGCUUGUGCGGGCCCCCGUCAAUUCCUUUGAGUUUCACCGUUGCCGGCGUACUCCCCAGGUGGAAUACUUAAUGCUUUCGCUUGGCCGCUUACUGUAUAUCGCAAACAGCGAGUAUUCAUCGUUUACUGUGUGGACUAC
rnacentral:misc_RNA from 1 species